rnacentral:rRNA from 1 species
GACGUAGGGCGCGAGCGUUGUCCGGAUUUAUUGGGCGUAAAGAGCUCGUAGGCGGCUUGUCGCGUCGAAUGUGAAAUCUCAGGGCUCAACUCUGACAUUGCAUUCGAUACGGGCAGGCUCGAGUUCGGUAGGGGAGACUGGAAUUCCUGGUGUAGCGGUGAAAUGCGCAGAUAUCAGGAGGAACACCGGUGGCGAAGGCGGUUCUCUGGGCCUUACCUGACGCUGAGGAGCGAAAGCGUGGGGAGCGAACAGG